rnacentral:lncRNA from 1 species
GCCAUGUCUUCGACCUACACCACAGCUCACGGCAACUCCAGAUCCCCAGCCCACUGAGCGAGGCCAGGGAUCAAACCCGCAUCCUCAUGGAUACUGGUCAGGUUUAUUACCACUGAGCCACAAGGGGAACUCCAAGUACAGAUUUCUAAACUGGUUGUUAUUUACUUUCAGCCUUUUAAAGGUGUCAUUUCAUUAUGUGGUUUCCAUAAUUUCUGUUGAGACUUAGCAUUUAGCCUUAUUUUUGCUCUUUGGAAAUAAUGCAUCUUUUUUUUUCUCUCUACUUGCUAUUAUGACUUUCUCUUUUGAUUUUGUUUUAUUGCCAACAUGAAGUGUAUUGUUGCCUUUAUCCUGCUUGGGGUUCUGAGUAAUUUUUGUCUCUCUGACUCAAAAUUUUUAUCCCUUUUGGAAAAUUUUGGGUUAUUAUCUCCACAAAUAUUGCUUCGGCUACAUCCUUUCUUGCUUCUCUUCUUGAACUCCAAUUACAUGUGUUAAAAUGUCUCACAUAAUAGACCACGUCACACGUCUCUUACGCAUUUCUGUAUUUCCCAUCCUUUUUGUCUUCUGUACUGCAGUCAGGAUACAUUUCUACUGCCCUCUCUCCAGCUCACCAGUCCUCUCUUCAGCUGUGUCCAAUUUGCUGUUAAACUCGUUUUGAGCCCAAAUUUUAAUGACUAUAUAGUUUUCAGUUCUAGAAUUUCUGUUUGCUCUUUGGAAGACAUGGAUUCCAGUUCCCUAGGAAAACUUCUCAUUUAUUUUCAUGAUCACAUGAAUGACAAUUAUUUUUAAAUCUGUGACUGAUGACUGCAAUAAUCCGGGACACCUGUGAGUGUAUUUCUAGUAGACUUUUUUUCUCUUGGCUCUCUUUCUUGGAUCCUAGGGAUUUGGGAUUGAAUGCUGCUGAUUCCUGUGCCUGAAAGAGGGAUCUGGUUGAAGUUAUUUUCCUCCAGAGCGAUUCAGUCUAUGUCUGCCAGGCAACUAUCCAAUCAGGGACUAAGGUGAUUCAAGGCUGAGUUGUAGUGAGGCUGGAUUUACUCUAACGGACCCCCUCUGAAGGGUCCCAACUGAAAGCCUACGGCAUUUACAGAGUGCAGCCGCCUGCUCAGUUCCUGAUUUCCAGAUUUUAGCUGCACAACAUCAGAGUGCCAAAAAUUCCACUCUGUUUUCCAGCUGCUUUUCUUGGCUUCCUAGCCUUUCCCUUUAUGUGACUAAGAUUCACCGAGUACUUUAAAGAGAAAACCAUCAAAUAUCAGGCUGACAUCUCUGUACCUCCCUUCUUUUUUUUUUUUUUUUUUUUUUUUCUGGAAUCUUAGCUUCUUGAAUCCUGGCUGAUCUGGGAGCCUCAUGCUCCAGGUCUUGUUUCCUCAGACCUCUCAGACUGCUGAGCGCUCCAAGCUUCCCGGCUUCUCCUUAGCCUCUCAGGCUCUUUCUAGAAGCCAGGAAUUGCUAAAUGCCAAGAGGAGAAAAGCAGCUUUCAGAACGUUGGGCUCACUUCAGUGAGAUUCCCUUCUCUGGUCUCUGGACCCGUCAACGCCAGGUUAUUGCAGCCACUCUCCGAAAACUUCAAACAGAUGAGUUUUCACUGUAUCCAUCUUUUCCAGUUGUUCUCAGUGGGAGCAGCAGUUUCCUGGUAACUGCUCCAUCAUACCUGGAAGUGAGAGUUGUCUCUUUGUUUCUUUUGACAACUUCAAAGAACGUCAUUUCCUGGAGAUACUAGAGCUGCUUCAACUGACUCUCUACUGAGAAACAUUUGGGUCUUUCCCCCCUUUUGCUGUAACAUAUGAAGCCAUGGUGAACAGCCUUCUGCAUAUGGCUUCAUAUGUUUACUGUGGACUAUUUGAGAUAAAAUCCUGGAAGUAUCAUUGCUGGAUAAAAGAGUGAAUGCAUAUGCAAUUUUGCUAGAUAGUGCCAAUUUCAUUUCACGGAAAUUGUACCAUUUUGGGUCCCCGCUUGCAGUGUAAAAAAAUACGUGUUUUCACAAAGUCUUGCCAAAAUUUGCAUUGUCAAACUUUGGAGAUCUCUUCAAUCUGAUAGAUGGGAGACAGAAUCUCAGUAGGGCUGAUGUGCAUUUCUGUUAUUGUGAAUGAGGCUCCUAGUGUCCUUUUUCUGUGAACUCUCUAGUCAUACCUUUGCUUAUUUUUAAAAAUCAGAUUAUGAGUCUUCCUUCUCAAUUUUUAGGAAACCCUUAUUACAUUAAUUAUAUGAGUACUGUGUGAUGUAAAUUACACAUUUUUUCCCAAUUUGUAAUUAUCUUAUGACUUAUUUUGUUGUUUGCAAUUUGUCAAAUUUCUUUCAUUGUCCAGAUUUUUUUUUUUUAAUAGUUAGAAAUUUCCACUCUGGGAUUGUAAAUAUAAGAUUUACCCAUGAUUUCUUCUUGUGUUUGUAUGUGUUUCUGUUUUUGUUUAAUUUUCAUUUAGACCUCCAAUGCAUUUAUAAUUUCUCCCAGAGUACACUGUGAGAAAAAGAUCUGUUGCUUUUUUUUUUUUCUUCUAUCUAUUUGGCCCAAUAUGAUUUAAAGUUCAUUUUCCCCUCUGAUUUCAAUGCUUCUUUUGUCAUAUACUAGAUUUUCCUUAUGUAUAUUCUAUUCUGAUCCAUUAGUUUAUAAGUCUUUUCCUGAGCCAAUACCUCACUGCUUUAAUUUAGAGGAUGUUGAAUGUUUUACUAACUCUAAUAAGAUUAGCCAUGCAUUAAAUAUUCUUUCCAAGUAUUUCCUGGCUAUUUUAGUUGUUUAUUCUUCCAUACAAACUUUCAAAUCUACUUGUCUAGUUCCAGGAAAAAAAAAAAAAAA